rnacentral:piRNA from 3 species
CACCGCCGCGGCCCGGGUUCGAUUCCCGGU